CUUCACCGAGCCCAGCCAGAGCGGGUCGGCGUCGGUGCGCGCCUUGCCGUAGGUGGCCAGCAGCGCCUGCGCCUC
rnacentral:antisense_RNA from 1 species